rnacentral:lncRNA from 1 species
CAGAAACACUUGCAGGAUCUUUGAGUGAAGCAGAUGCAGAAAGCGGAAGAUGAGGGCAGGAAAACUCACACUUAGUGCUCAGAGAACCAGGGGUGCAGCAGAGCUCCAAGGCCACAGGGUACAGGGAGAGCCCCUGCCCCUUUCCGUUCACCCUUGGCUGCAGUGCUUGGACCUCCCUGGACACUGGCUCCGUG